rnacentral:rRNA from 1 species
UACAGAGGUCUCAAGCGUUGUUCGGAUUCAUUGGGCGUAAAGGGUGCGUAGGUGGCGCUGUAAGUCGGGUGUGAAAGCCCACGGCUCAACCGUGGAGGGUCAUUGGAAACUGGGGAACUUGAGUGCAGGAGAGAAGAGUGGAAUUCCACGUGUAGCGGUGAAAUGCGUAGAGAUGUGGAGGAACACCAGUGGCGAAGGCGACUCUUUGGCCUGUAACUGACACUGAGGCGCGAAAGCGUGGGGAGCAAACAGG